AGUCGAGUGCGCGGUUGUAGCAAUACAACUGGCGCACGGCGCACGGGUGCGUAACACGUGGGCAAUCUGCCCUCCGAUGGGGAAUAACCCCGCGAAAGCGGGGCUAAUUCCGCAUAACAUUCCCUGGACUCUGGUUCGGGGAUUCAAAGCAGCAAUGCGUCGGAGGAGGAGCCCGCGCCCGAUUAGCUAGUUGGUGGGGUAACGGCUCACCAAGGCAAUGAUCGGUAGCUGGUCUGAGAGGAUGGCCAGCCACACUGGAACUGAGACACGGUCCAGACUCCUACGGGAGGCAGCAGUGGGGAAUCUUGCGCAAUGGGCGAAAGCCUGACGCAGCGACGCCGCGUGGGGGAUGAAGCUUCUCGGAGUGUAAACCCCUUUCGACCGGGACGAAUGCCCGCAAGGGAGUGACGGUACCGGUAGAAGAAGCCCCGGCUAACUACGUGCCAGCAGCCGCGGUAAGACGUAGGGGGCCAGCGUUGUUCGGAAUUACUGGGUGUAAAGGGUUCGUAGGCGGUGUGGCAAGUCGGGAGUGAAAUUUCUGGGCUUAACCCAGAGGCUGCUUCCGAAACUGCUGUGCUCGAGUGUGGGAGAGGCGCGUGGAAUUGCAGGUGUAGCGGUGAAAUGCGUAGAUAUCUGCAGGAACACCCGUGGCGAAAGCGGCGCGCUGGACCACUACUGACGCUGAGGAACGAAAGCUAGGGGAGCAAACAGGAUUAGAUACCCUGGUAGUCCUAGCCCUA
rnacentral:rRNA from 1 species